rnacentral:rRNA from 1 species
GAACGGUAACAGGUUAAGCUGACGAGUGGCGAACGGGUGAGUAAUAUAUCGGAACGUGCCCAGUAGUGGGGGAUAGCCCGGCGAAAGCCGGAUUAAUACCGCAUACGACCUACGGGUGAAAGCGGGGGAUCGCAAGACCUCGCGCUAUUGGAGCGGCCGAUAUCAGAUUAGCUAGUUGGUAGGGUAAAAGCCUACCAAGGCGACGAUCUGUAGCUGGUCUGAGAGGACGACCAGCCACACUGGGACUGAGACACGGCCCAGACUCCUACGGGAGGCAGCAGUGGGGAAUUUUGGACAAUGGACGCAAGUCUGAUCCAGCCAUGCCGCGUGCGGGAAGAAGGCCUUCGGGUUGUAAACCGCUUUUGUCAGGGAAGAAAAGUCUGGGGCUAAUAUCCUCGGACGAUGACGGUACCUGAAGAAUAAGCACCGGCUAACUACGUG